rnacentral:rRNA from 1 species
GAAAGCUAUCUUGCUCAUUUCGGUGAUACUUUCAUGGAGGAUGCUGAAGGUGAAGGGGAAGGUGAAGGGGCAGGUGAAGGGGAAGGUGAAGGGGAAGGUGAAGGUGAAGGUGAAGAAGAGGCACGUGAUGAGACCGUUGAUGAUCUUGGUCGGACCAUUGCUGAUGCACGGAGACGCUGCGAAACUGAAAAGGAGAGGGAGAAUUUGGAUCGCAUGUUAGAGGAUCACAGAAAGUCGUUGUACCCUGGAUGCGAUGAUGGUCUGAAAAAGCUGGGUUGCACACUGGAUUUGCUGAAAUGGAAGGCACAGGCAGGUGUAGCUGACUCGGCAUUUAAAAACUUGCUGAAAAUGUUGAAGAAUAUGUUUCCAAAGAAUAACGAGUUGCCCGCCAGUACGUACGAAGCAAAGAAGGUUGUC